rnacentral:rRNA from 1 species
GGAAUAUUGGACAAUGGGCGCAAGCCUGAUCCAGCCAUGCCGCGUGUGUGAAGAAGGCCGUAGGGUUGAAAAGCACUUUCAGUGGGGAGAAAGGUUAUUCACCUAAUACGUGAGUAAAUUGAUGUUACACACAGAAGAAGAAUCGGCUAACUCCGUGCCAGCAGCCGCGGGAAUACGGAGGGUGCAAGCGUUAAUCGGAAUUACUGGACGUAAAGCGUACGUAGGUGGUUUGUUAAGCCAGCUGUGAAAUCCCCGGGCUCAACCUGGGCACUGCAGUUGGAACUGGCAAGCUAGAGUAGGGUAGAGGGGUGUGGAAUUCCAGGUGUAGCGGUGAAAUGCGUAGAUAUCUGGAGGAACAUCAGUGGCGAAGGCGACACCCUGGACUCAUACUGACACUGAGGUACGAAAGCGUGGGGAGCAAAC